rfam:Candidatus Yanofskybacteria bacterium RIFCSPLOWO2_01_FTLL_49_17 rifcsplowo2_01_scaffold_1568, whole genome shotgun sequence.
GAUUAUUCAAUAUAAGGGCGCACGGAGGAUGCCUUGACACGAAAAGACGAUGAAGGACGCGGCGUGACUGCGAUAAGCUUCGGGGAGCCGUCUAGCGGGCUUUGAUCCGGAGAUUUCCGAAUGGGGAAACCCCGCCGUGCAAACCACGGCGACCGUGCUUUGCACAGAAUUUUUAAGUCCAAAUUAUUAGUUUUUAAAAAUUAAUAAUUAAAAAUUGAAAAUUCCGCGCAGAGCGCGGGGUGUACCUGGGGAAGUGAAACAUCUCAGUACCCAGAGGAAAAUAAAUAGAAUUAGAUGCCGUCAGUAGCGGCGAGCGAAAGCGGCGUAGCCCAAACCAUUUUCUAGUUAUGCAAAUAAUCGGGAAGUGGGGUAACAGGGGAGAACAUUUGAAAUUUUAAUUUUGUCAGGACACAUCACUGAUAGAAUUAAAACUUCAUAAGAAGUUACAAAUUUAGAAAUUAGCGGAACGGCCUUGGAACAGCCGACCAUAGAAGGUGACAGUCCUGUACGCGAAAAUCUCUAAACUUCUGUUCUUGCAAUCCCGCAUAUAAAAACUUUUACGAGUUUUUAUGUGCGCGGAUUCGACCCUAAGUAGCCCAGGAUAAGACUGUCCGGGGUGAAUUUGUCCAUACUACUGGAUAAGGCUAAAUACUUUUCGUGAUCGAUAGUGAACCAGUACCGUGAGGGAAAGGUUAAAAGAACCCCGGCGAGGGGAGUGAAAUAGAAACUGAAACCGUGUGCUUACAAAGAGCCGGAGUCCCGAGCGCAAGCGAGGGAUGACGGUGUGCCUAUUGAAGAAUGACCCAACGAGUUUACUUACACUGCACUAUAAGUUCCAUUGGAACGUAUGGAAAGGGAAACCGAGUGUUAAUAGCGCGUCUACCAAUACUUUGUAUUGGAAAACUCUAAACUCAAAACCCUAAUCUCUAAACAAUAUCAAAUAUCUAAAUUCAAAUUUUUGAAAUUAGGAUUUGGGAUUUAUUUAGAAAUUAGAAAUUAGGAUUUAGAAAUUCCAACACAGAGUGUUGGUUAUGCAGUAUAGGUAAGACCCGAAGCCAGGCGAGCUAACCAUGACCAGGGUGAAGCUCUUCGAAAGAAGAGUGGAGGCCCGAACCCAUUGGCCGUUCAAUGCCACGGGAUGAGUUGUGGUUGGAAGUGAAAAGCUUACCGAGCUUGGUAAUAGCUGGUUCUCCCCGAAAUGUCUUUAGGGACAGCGGUUGCAGAGAAUCCACGGGGGUAGAGCACUGAAUGGUUUGCCGUGCCCGCAAGGGUAGGUUUACCAAACAAACUCCGAAUACCGUGGUGCUCUCAACAAUGACAAGUUUCGUGACGAAAGUUACAAAAUUUAUAGCGAAGUGAGGAGAAAUUUUGAGACAUACUGAUGUAUGUUAAAAAAUUUCGACAAAACUGAAGCAUAAAUUUUUAACUUGCAGUAGAAAAGUUGUCAUUGUUGAGGGCACUGCAGCCAGUGAGACCGUGAGGGCGAAGCUUCAUGGUCGCAAGGGAAACAGCCCAGAUCACAAAUUAAGGUCCCAAAAUCUAUGCUAAGUGAAAAGGAAGUACAUUGCCUUAGACAGGUAGGAGGUUGGCUUAGAAGCAGCCAUCCUUUAAAGAGUGCGUAACAGCUCACUACUCGAACCCGCCUCUGGCGGGAAGGCAGUGUGCGCCGAAAAUGUAUAGGGGCUAAGCAUAGUACCGAAAUUGUGGGUUCGGUGAUUUCAGAAAGGAUUAUGCGGGAGAGAUAGUCGAUUUUCCGAAAGUGAACGCCAAAGUAGAGGUAGGAGGCCAUUGAAAUUUUAAUGGCCGAUUUCUCGAACCGACGAACAAGUAGGAUCUUGAGACUGCCUCCCGCUCCAGUUGGGGAUGGUCUAACAAUGCAAGCUUCGAGAAAGGGCUCAGGCGUUCUGAAACGUCCGGCCGCAUCUCGCUUUGCAUAAGGCGCUCGUAUGACUGUGCGACCUCGGUUGCCUUUCCUGCGAGAGACAGGCGCAGCGCGACAUUAGAUAGUCGCGUUCCGUUCCCAACCGCCAGCCCGGGUAUCGAUCCCUGGGCGGCGGGUCCUUACUGAAGUGUCGCGCGUAAGGCGCGGCACUUCAGUCUUUUCUGAAAUCACCGAGCGGUAGGGGAGCAUCUCCAUCUGCUGUGAAGGUAAACUGUGAAGUUUGCUGGAGCGAUGGGGAGGGAGAAUGUUGGGAUGAGUAACCGCAAAUGAUGUGAAAACCAUCAUCGCCGUAAGUCCAAGGUUUCCUCCGCGAUGGCGAUCAUCGGAGGGUUAGGCGUGCCUAAGAAUAACCGUGCUUUCGGGCAUGGGAAGUCGAUGGACAGCCGGUUAAUAUUCCGGCCCCGCUUAUGUAUUCUAAGGAGUGACGGAGUGCUGUAAGUUGACCGUAUAAUCGGAUUUAACGGGCAUAGCGUGAGGAUGGGACACAGGAAAAUCCGUGUCCAGCCGCAAGGCGCAUCCGAGCGAAGUGCAAACCUCGACGUUACAGUCGGGGAAUUCAACCGAGCGCGCUUCCAAGAAAAGCUUCUAUGGCUAAUACAUGAGCGAACGUACCGCAAAACCGACACAGGUGGACUAGUAUCAGUGUACUAAGGCGAACGGGUGAUUAUUGGCUAAGGAACUCGGCAAAA